rnacentral:rRNA from 1 species
UAACGGCGAGUGAAGCGGCAACAGCUCAAAUUUGAAAUCUGGCUUCGGUCCGAGUUGUAAUUUGUAGAGGAUGCUUCGGCUUACGUACCGGUCUAAGUUCCUUGGAACAGGACGUCACAGAGGGUGAGAAUCCCGUUUGUGGCCGGCACUUCCGCCAUGUGAAGCUCCUUCGACGAGUCGAGUUGUUUGGGAAUGCAGCUCUAAAUGGGAGGUAAAUUUCUUCUAAAGCUAAAUACCGGCCAGAGACCGAUAGCGCACAAGUAGAGUGAUCGAAAGAUGAAAAGCACUUUGGAAAGAGAGUUAAAAAGUACGUGAAAUUGUUGAAAGGGAAGCGCUUGCGACCAGACUUGCCUGCGGAUGCUCAACCGGUCCUUCGGCCGGUGCACUCUUCCGCGGUCAGGCCAGCAUCAGUUCGGGCGGUCGGAUAAAGGCCUUGGGAAUGUGGCUCUCUUCGGGGAGUGUUAUAGCCCUUGGUGCAAUACGGCCCGCCUGGACUGAGGCCCGCGCUUCGGCUAGGAUGCUGGCGUAAUGGUCGUAAGCGGCCCGUCUUGAAACACGGACCAAGGAGUCUAACAUCUAUGCGAGUGUUUGGGUGUCAAACCCGUGCGCGAAAUGAAAGUGAACGGAGGUGGGAACCUUAGGGUGCACCAUCGACCGAUCCUGAUGUCUUCGGAUGGAUUUGAGUAAGAGCAUAGCUGUUGGGACCCGAAAGAUGGUGAACUAUGCCUGAAUAGGGUGAAGCCAGAGGAAACUCUGGUGGAGGCUCGCAGCGGUUCUGACGUGCAAAUCGAUCGUCAAAUUUGGGUAUAG